rnacentral:rRNA from 1 species
ACCAAUGGCCCUCGAGUGCAAAGGUAAAAGGAAGCUUGACUUCAAGACCCAUUGUCAAGCAAGGAUGAAAGACAGCCUCAGU